GCCGGAGUGGUGAAACUGGUAGACACGCACGUUUCAGAGGCGUGUGCUUUUACGAGCGUGGGGGUUCGACUCCCCCCUCCGGCACCA
rnacentral:tRNA from 2 species